UCGAGCGGGCACCUUCGGGUGUCAGCGGCAGACGGGUGAGUAACACGUGGGAACGUACCCUUCGGUUCGGAAUAACGCUGGGAAACUAGCGCUAAUACCGGAUACGCCCUUUUGGGGAAAGGUUUACUGCCGAAGGAUCGGCCCGCGUCUGAUUAGCUAGUUGGUGGGGUAACGGCCUACCAAGGCGACGAUCAGUAGCUGGUCUGAGAGGAUGAUCAGCCACACUGGGACUGAGACACGGCCCAGACUCCUACGGGAGGCAGCAGUGGGGAAUAUUGGACAAUGGGCGCAAGCCUGAUCCAGCCAUGCCGCGUGAGUGAUGAAGGCCUUAGGGUUGUAAAGCUCUUUUGUCCGGGACGAUAAUGACGGUACCGGAAGAAUAAGCCCCGGCUAACUUCGUGCCAGCAGCCGCGGUAAUACGAAGGGGGCUAGCGUUGCUCGGAAUCACUGGGCGUAAAGGGCGCGUAGGCGGCCAUUCAAGUCGGGGGUGAAAGCCUGUGGCUCAACCACAGAAUUGCCUUCGAUACUGUUUGGCUUGAGUAUGGUAGAGGUUGGUGGAACUGCGAGUGUAGAGGUGAAAUUCGUAGAUAUUCGCAAGAACACCGGUGGCGAAGGCGGCCAACUGGACCAUUACUGACGCUGAGGCGCGAAAGCGU
rnacentral:rRNA from 1 species